AUAUAUAUAUAUAUAUAAAGGGAAAUGUAUACCUGCAUUGCUAUUAAGCCAAAACUUGUGUUCCUUUCCCUUCUUUUCUUUAUUUACAUUUUAGAUUUAUUUAACAUUUUUAUUAUUAGUCUCAGCAAAUAUUAAAUGCUACAAUAUAGAUGCUACAUACUUAGCUUUCUCUACACACACUGAGAAUAAUGCUGAAACUAUGUUCUUACCAAUUACUCUGGGCUGCACAGUGCAAACACGAAUCCGUAGUAUUUACACUUACCUCUGCACAGUCUAAUCACACUAAUUUCACUUUUUGGCGGCGGUGGCUGCUGCUACUACUUAAAAAAGCAUUAAAUAAUGAUGAGAUAUAUCUCACUCCCCAACUACAGUUGUAUGAAAAAUAAAGAACAGAUUGGUGUGAGACGUAUUCUAAGGCUGGAAGACUUAACCGCGUAUUCUGGACACAGUGUGUUUAUAGCUAUAGUAUGAACCUAUAUAGUAUGAACCUAUAUACUAUUCACGUGCCAUAAAAAACAAGAUGAGUGAAUCCACUCACUGUAAACUAACAAAGAGCUAAUAUGUGGUAGUCCUAUGUUUUCUGUUUGAUCAGAACAGAUGAGACAUAGUACUGGGAGUUUGCCAUAGAGGGCAUUUAUCAAAGUCAAAUAAGUCAGUUUUCUUUAUGAAAAGAAAAAUACAAGGGUGUUUUUUCCUUUGUCUGAUGUACUAGUUUAGUGAGCUAUUAGGUUGUGUGUGUGUUUGUGUGUGUGUGUGUGUGUGAGAGAGAGUGCCACAGAUGUUAAACAACUGGACUCUUUCUCUUCCAAAGCAAUCAAACAUGAAUUACAUCUUCCCAUCUCUCAGCCUCAGUCUUUUAGAAGUUGUGGUCCAUGUGUUUUCAGGGUUAAACCUGAGCAGUUCUCUUUCCAUGAUCACAAACAAUAAUUUUAAAUGAUUGUCAAUGUCUUUGUGGCGGCAGUACAAAGAGGAGUUGGAAUCCGCUUAAUUGCUACCAACUCCCUUGUGAGUCGUUUAUCAGUAAAAAGGUUCAGGAGAAGUAACAGUAUUUUUUUUUCAGUGAUGUUCAGAUGUGAGUCAGUGAAGAAACUAUGUACAUGUGUAAUACAUUUGCAACAAUUUCAAAUGAAGGCAAAUAUGUUCUUUUUUCGUUCAAUAUUGUUCUUGAUGACUAUGGUAUCCUCUUGUCCUAGUCUUAUAUUUGAUGGUGACGGCCUUUCAACCGAAGGCUCUUGUAUGUUUAAAACAACAAAUGUUCCAUGAUACAUGGUUGUGUAUCAUAUUGUGAUUGUGUUGUACAUGUCAAUGGGUAGCCACAUGACACGGGCAAACAACAUUAACUGAGGAGGAUAUUUUGUAUUUGUGUAUUUGUCUGUACUUUGAAUUGAUCUGAAAAACCAAACAGGAUUAUUGAUAUCCAUUUCUCACACAUCAGGCCUUUAUGCACACGAGCAUUAACACAUAUAAAGCGUUGCGCCUUGAUCAUGUUGACGUCACUCCCACAUAAAACAUGCACAGCGACACAUACACGCAAAACCUAAAAAAAUAAGUGAAUCUAUCUGCAUUACUAGCGUAGACUAGUCAUUUCUGCCUGCUCCCUGUCAGGCUGCAGAGGCAUUACUUUGAACCUAUUUAUUUUCACCAAACCCAAAUCGCCUGACAUCCUAAAUCAGUGCCACACAGAUUUCAGGAAUUACACAUGAUUUGAUUAAUUUAGGUGUCUUAAACAUGUGAAAAAAUUAAUUUCUCUCCUAUCUCUGUACCGUCAAUGAGAUUUGUGUUCAGUGCAGUCCUUUCAAUGGCAGAGAAAACACACUUAAAAACAAAAAAAACACAACCAAAAUAAAAUAAUAAAAAAAUCUGACUUCUACUUACAGGGUGUUUUUGUUAGUAUGUUUUUUAGUUUGUAUGUUUUUGGUUUUUUUAUUAACUGUACAGUCUCAAUCUUGAGAGAAAGGUGAAACAAAACAAA